AUAAUUUGCCCUUUUCUCUAACCCAGGGUGCAUGCUGCCGUGACCCUUGGUGACCAUGUCCCCUGUGGCCUUCCUCCAAGGCUUGCUCCAGCAAGCUCUGACAUGCUGUCCUCCCUGACCUUCUGGGCUGCGGCUUCUCCAACUUCCCUUAGCUCCUACAGACAGAGGAGCAACAGCAAGGCACAAGGAUUACUACACUGAGCAUGAUGUCCCCCAGGCUCAUCCAUGUUGUAGCGUGUGCCAGGGUUUCCCUCCCUGUUAAGGUCCGAAGGGUUCCACUUUCUCCACAUCCUCGCCAACGCCAAUCCUUGCCAACGCUGGGUUUUUGACAGUGACCAUCCUGAUGAGUAUGAGGUGGUAGAGCUGCCUGCUUUUUGAUUAAUGUGACGAUCACACCCUCUGCCUGGGAAUUUUACAGAAUGGUGAUGACUUUUUGUGGCAUCUCAGGAAAGAAAAUAACUUCAGGGACGUCCUUAGUCAGAAUCUACUCAGUAUAAGCUCACAUGAGACCUCGCCUCCCCAGGGAGUCACAACCGCUAAUAUACUUCUUCCUUCUGCUCUGCCCCCCACAAACCGCCCUGCCAGUCCUCACCACCUAAAGGGAGAUUGGGAGCUGGUAGAGGAAAGACACCCUAAAUCCCUGAGGUCAGGCAAAGCCCUGGGGCGGCGCCGUGGGAUCCCUGCCUCAGGCCUGCCUAGACAGUAUGUGAAUGAGUAUCCCAGAGAUUUUCCCCGCUAUGACCUUGAGGGCCAGCCUGCCUGUGUGGCCGUGAGCUGCUUUCUUCCCAGAGGAACUUACUCGUGGCAGCAGGACUCCACAGCCUCAGGGGCAGCCUGGGGCUCAAGCAGACGGCAGCAUAACUCCUAUAGGAUGAGCGGUAGCCAAGCGUGGCUGGCCUUUGCCUUCCAAGAAAGGUGGUGUUUCCUGGCAUCUACAGGGCCUUCACCCCUCUUGAGGGAUAUCCAGCCCCUCUGCUCCCAGGCGGGACUGCCUCCCAGCACUGAAUCUUCUGACCGCCACGGGUUUCACUGAGCCAAGUGGACGGAGGGUCGGCCUGCUUCAGCUGAGGGUUUGCUGGGCCUUUCCUUCACUUUUUUGGUGAGGGGGCCUUCCGUCUUGGAAUGGCUCCAUUCCAAGAGUCCUUGGAGACACACACUCACUCCACCUGCUCGCCAGCCUGGUGCUCGCAUCACAGCGCCCGCCACCGUUGCCUGCAGGGUGUCGCCAGGGAGGUCCCGGGAUCUUAGGAGCCACAGAGGGCCGAUCAGGAUGAACAAACGUCAGUCGGAGCCCCAGUGAUGCACUGCGGGAUCCCUGUCUCAGUCCUGCCUAGAUGAUGUGCAGGCCUCGGCAAAGUGCGGAGCUGCCUCGGCCUGCAGAGGUCCAAAUCACCUCCUCAUUUAGAGGGACUAUGUCUCUAGAGAGAAGAAGACAUGCCAAAAACGAAAACCUCACAGGAGCUUUUUGUCCACUUGCAAGCGAAGUACAGACGUGUUUGAGACGGUGGAUGGACUUUUUUUUUUUUCCUUUUCUCUCUUUCCAAAAUCCGGACACACCAUGGCCCAGUGACGGAGAAGAAGUUGAGGACCUGGCAAGGAUCUUCUUUCUUAGGAGUCGUGGAGGGCUGACCAGUCUCAAUAAAGCACCGGGGAGCCCACGUGACCCAGCAUCUGGGUGGCAGCUUGUGGACAAUCUGCAGCUCAUCUGGAUCACACAGCUCAGCUGAACUCACAGCUGGAGGCCCAGCACUGCCCAGGGGCUGGCGGCCAUCCUGUUUGGGUGGGGCUCUGCAGGAUGGGGAACCACACGACGGUCUCCCUGGGAGCCUGGGAAAAGGGAGGGUCCACAGAUUACAAGGGGACAAGAGCCUGUUGGACAAAAAUGACCGAGUGGGAAGCUGCCUAGCUCUGACCAGGUCUGGGAACACAUUGGGAUUGGAAGUCAUCUAAAUAUAGCCUGUUUAUAGUCUG
ensembl:lncRNA